rnacentral:rRNA from 1 species
AAAAACAUGUCUUUUUGUUUAUGAUUUAAGGUUUGACCUGCCCAAUGAUUUAUUAAAUGGCUGCAGUAUUUUGACUGUACAAAGGUAGCAUAAUCAUUAGUUUCUUAAUUAGGAGCUGGAAUGAAUGGUUUGAUGAGAAAUUUACUGUCUCAAUUUAAUUGUUUUAGAAUUUUAUUUUUAAGUUAAAAAGCUUAGAUUUUUUAAAAAGACGAGAAGACCCUAUAGAGUUUUACGUAAUGACUAUUUUUUAUAAAUGAUUUUAUUAUUUUUUAUUUUUUAUUACGUUUUGUUGGGGUGAUGUGAAAAUUUUUUUAACUUUUCUUUAUUUUUUACACUGGUUAGUGGUUUGAUGAUCCUUUUUUAGAUUAUAAGAUUAAAUUACCUUAGGGAUAACAGCGUAAUUUUUUUUGAAAGCUCUUAUUGAUAAAAAAGUUUGCGACCUCGAUGUUGGAUUAAAGUUUAUUUUUGGUGUAGAAGCUAGAAAAUUAGGUCUGUUCGACU